AGCAAGACAAGUCUCUGGUUAGCAUUGAGGCAGAUUCUCACUUCCUCUUUUGCCUUUAAUUGGAGAAGAGGGGGAAAAAGAGCCACAAGGAGACCUAAUGGAGGCGCUCAAGCCUCUGAGGACUCAGAGGUUCUGGGCAAAGUGCAGAGUCCAGUAGCUGUUUUUGGAACCCAACAUAUCUCAAGGACAGAGUAUGGGCUGGACUGUGAUCCAAGGUGACCUAUGCUCUGGAGUAUUGUGGAACUGAACAGCUAGCCAUUUUCCAGAGAGGACAGUGUGUGCGGAUCUCAACUAGUGUACCUGGCCAUGUGACGCAGGCAGCCACGUCAUCGACCCACAUCUCAAUUCUCUUGUGGUUUUGUGCCAUUGUGUCCUACAGAGAGCAUUCCAGGAAACCGGACAGCCCAAGCCUAACCAGAGGUGUUUCAAAUACAAAUGCUCCAUCAGUUUUGACAAACGUUUAAAAAUAAUGAGGACCUGAAGACCCUACCCUUCUCCUGAUUUAGUAGCUCUGUUCCAGGAACCAGGG
rnacentral:lncRNA from 1 species